rnacentral:rRNA from 1 species
AUUGAACGCUGGCGGCAUGCUUUACACAUGCAAGUCGAACGGCAGCGCGGGCUUCGGCCUGGCGGCGAGUGGCGAACGGGUGAGUAAUACAUCGGAACGUGCCCAGUAGUGGGGGAUAGCUCGGCGAAAGCCGGAUUAAUACCGCAUACGACCUGAGGGUGAAAGCGGGGGAUCUUCGGACCUCGCGCUAUUGGAGCGGCCGAUGGCAGAUUAGCUAGUUGGUGGGGUAAAGGCCUACCAAGGCGACGAUCUGUAGCUGGUCUGAGAGGACGACCAGCCACACUGGGACUGAGACACGGCCCAGACUCCUACGGGAGGCAGCAGUGGGGAAUUGUGGACAAUGGGCGAAAGCCUGAUCCAGCAAUGCCGCGUGUGUGAUGAAGGCCUUCGGGUUGUAAAGCACUUUUGGCGGGAACGAAAAGGACUGUGCCAAUACCACGGUUCGAUGACGGUACCCGCAGAAUAAGCACCGGCUAACUACGUG